rnacentral:piRNA from 1 species
UUCCCAAAGACUUACUGAAACAGAGAUGUGU